rnacentral:rRNA from 1 species
UGCCAGCAGCCGCGGUAAUACGGAGGGAGCUAGCGUUAAUCGGAUUUAUUGGGCGUAAAGGGCGCGUAGGCUGGCGAAUAAGUCAGAUGUGAAAUCUUGGGGCUCAACCUCAGGGCUGCAUUUGAAACUGUUUGUCUAGAGGGUAGGCGGAGAAAACGGAAUUCCACAAGUAGCGGUGAAAUGCGUAGAUAUGUGGAAGAACACCGGUGGCGAAGGCGGUUUUCUAGCUUACUCCUGACGCUGAGGCGCGAAAGUUAGGGGAUCAAACAGGAUUAGAUA